rnacentral:misc_RNA from 1 species
GAAAUGCGAUAAGUAAUGUGAAUUGCAGAAUUCAGUGAAUCAUCGAAUCUUUGAACGCACCUUGCGCUCCUUGGUAUUCCUUGGAGCAUGCCUGUUUGAGUAUCAUGAAAUCUUCAAAGUAAAUCUUUUGUUAACUCAAUUGGUUUCUACUUUGGUAUUGGAGGUCUUUGCAGCUUCACACCUGCUCCUCUUUGUUCAUUAGCUGGAUCUCAGUGUUAUGCUUGGUUCCACUCUGCGUGAUAAGUUAUCUAUCGCUGAGGACACUGUAAAAGGUGGCCAAGGUAAAUGCAGAUGAACCGCUUCUAAUAGUCCAUUGACUUGGACAAUACUUUUAUGAUCUGAUCUCAAAUCAUGUAGGACUACCCGCUGAACUUAAGC